GUCAUCAGACCACUUUUUCUUGUUUUAGUGUAUAUUUUGUGGUGUUUUCCUUGUGCGGAGCCUUCCUGCGAUGAGCCAAAAAAAUGUAAUACCCCUCGAUCUUUUGGAAACCCCAAGAUAGAAUUUGGGUGGAUGCCCCGUUUGUAUAGUAUGGGCAGAGUGGGGAAAAACAAUCCAGCAGGGUAGUUUCUUUGUGGAUUUUUGUGGUGUCUAUUAUUACCUCCUCUUCCUUCUGAGC
rnacentral:lncRNA from 1 species